rnacentral:tRNA from 1 species
GCGGAAAUGGCGGAAUUGGCAGACGCGCUGGCUUCAGGUGCCAGUGGUAGCAAUAUCGUGCAGGUUCGACUCCUGUUUUCCGCACCA